CUAGCCAGUGGUGGUCUCUGAAACUGAGGAGCCAAGCUGUGAAGUUCAUGACUGUGUUCUGGUGAGAAAAGAUUCUAGUGGAGAAACAGGACCAAAGAGCUCCUGAGAAGUAGUAUAGCUGUGGUUCCAGUUCCACUCACUGUUCUGACAGCACCAUGCAAUGAACAUCCUCUGUAAAGCCACUGGUCCCAGGAAGUGGAUGAGAGACACAUGGUACAGCGCUGCCUCAAUCAAGCUGCCCCUGACAAACACAGCCUGCCCCAGCCAACCACACACAAGCUCAUGGGCUAAAUAAAUACCUACUAUCGUUAAGGGUGAGUCAGGAGAAUCAGGAAAAAUCACAGUCAUCUAUGGGAACAUGUCGAUACAUUUGCUGCCAAUUCUUGAUUAUCAUAUGGGGAUUUUCCACCUGUGUGUUUAUCAGUGCCUUCCAGAUGAUGUCCAGAAAACAAAAAAAG